CUUCUCGACUGUUUAACAAAAACAUUUCCUUUUGAUGUAAGUAAAAGGUAGCCCCUGCCCAGUGCAACUAGAGUAAUGUCUGUUGUAAACGGCGGCGUUAACGUGAGCGUCCUAAGGUAGCGCGAUAAUUUGCUUUUCAAUUGAAGGAUGGUAUGAAAGGGUUAACGAAGAAG
rnacentral:rRNA from 1 species